CCAGCACCUGCGGUAAUUCCAGCUCCAAUAGCGUAUAUUAAAGUUGUUGCAGUUAAAAAGCUCGUAGUUGGAUUUCUGGCAGGAGCGUCCGGUCUCACACUCAGUGCGGGAUCUUGGAUGUCUCUGGCCAUCUUUGGGGAUAUCCUGUUUGGCAUUAAGUUGUCGGGCAGGGGAUACCCAUCGUUUGCUGAGAAAAAAUUAGAGUGUUUAAAGCAGGCUUAUGCCGUUGAAUAUAUUAGCAUGGAAGAAUAAGAUAGGACGUAGGUACUAUUUUGUUGGUUUGCGCACCCUCGUCAUGAUUAGUAGAGACAGGCGGGGCUAUUGGUAUUGCAUUGUCAGAGGUGAAAUUCUUGGAUCUCUGCAACACGAACUACUGCGAAAGCAUUUAGCAAGGAUGUUUUCAUUAAUCAAGAACGAAAGU
rnacentral:rRNA from 1 species